rnacentral:rRNA from 1 species
CCUACGGGUGGCAGCAGUGAGGAAUAUUGGUCAAUGGACGAGAGUCUGAACCAGCCAAGUAGCGUGAAGGAUGAAUGCCCGAUGGGUUGUAAACUUCUGUUAUAUGGGAAUAAAAUGUUCCACGUGUGGGAUUUUGUAUGUACCAUAUGAAUAAGGAUCGGCUAACGCCGUGCCAGCAGCCGCGGUAAUACGGAGGAUCCGAGCGUUAUCCGGAUUUAUUGGGUUUAAAGGGAGCGUAGGUGGUUUGUUAAGUCAGUUGUGAAAGUUUGCGGCUCAACCGUAAAAUGGCAGUUGAAACUGGCAGUCUUGAGUACAGUAGAGGUGGGCGGAAUUCGUGGUGUAGCUGUGAAAUGCUUAGAUAUCCCGCAGAACUCCGAUUGCGAAGGCAGCUCCCUGGACUGCAACUGACACUGAGGCUCGAAAGUGUGGGUAUCAAACAGGAUUAGCUACCCUUGUAGUC